GCCUAUGGCCAUACCACCCUGAACACACCCAAUCUUGUCUGAUCUCAGAAGCUAAGCAGUAAUUCUCAACCUUGGUGUUGCUGGCA
rnacentral:rRNA from 1 species